AGUGCGAGGCGCGCGGGGCACGGAGGGCGGUGGCGGCGGGCUCCUGCGAGAAGCAAGCGGAACUUCCUGAGGUGUCACAGCUGGGUGACCCUCCGAAGGAAGGUUUUGCCGCUGGCGCGUCUGGUGUAUCGCGGCCUUGGGGCCGCGGAUCCCUGGGGCUUGCCGCUGCCUCUGGGGUUCGCGCGGCCCUGGCGUCGGGGCUGCCUCAGCGCUGGCUGAAGGCCGGCCCGAAGCACCCUUAAUUGUGGCCGCGCGCUUCCCUGCUGCUCCUGCUGUUCUCCGCGUCGCGGUGGUGGACUCUGGAGGUGGAGCCUUGCCCGGCGAGACGUUGAGGAGGAAUCAUUAUAGAUUCUAAAAAUAUAUUUUCCCUUCUCUGUGGACUUGGUAUAAAACGUAGCUUUUUUUCUGCUUGGAUUUAUUUUCUAAAAAUCAACACCGUAAACCCAUAUCAGAUACAACAAAAUUGGGGUAGUUAAAACCAUGAGUUGUGGAAAUGAGUUUGUGGAAACAUUAAAAAAAAUUGGUUAUCCCAAAGCUGAUAAUCUUAAUGGAGAAGACUUUGACUGGUUGUUUGAGGGCG
rnacentral:lncRNA from 10 species